rnacentral:rRNA from 1 species
ACUCCUACGGGUGGCUGCAGUGGGGAAUAUUGGACAAUGGGGGCAACCCUGAUCCAGCAAUGCCGCGUGUGUGAAGAAGGCCUUAGGGUUGUAAAGCACUUUCGUUAGUGAAGAAAGGUUUAUGGCUAAUACCUAUGAAUUUGACAUUAGCUAAAGAAGAAGCACCGGCUAACUCCGUGCCAGCAGCCGCGGUAAUACGGAGGGUGCAAGCGUUAUUCGGAAUGACUGGGCGUAAAGCGCACGCAGGCGGUUAUUUAAGUCAGAUGUGAAAGCCCCGGGCUUAACCUGGGAAUUGCAUUUGAAACUGGGUAACUAGAGUAUGUCAGAGGAAGGCGGAAUUUCCAGUGUAGCAGUGAAAUGCGUAGAGAUUGGAAGGAACACCGAUGGCGAAGGCAGCCUUCUGGGGCAAUACUGACGCUCAUGUGCGAAAGCGUGGGUAGCAAACAGGAUUAGAUACCCUGGUAGUCCACGCCCUAAACGAUGUCAACUAGGUGUUGGGCACUUAAGUGCUCGGUACCGCAGCUAACGCAUUAAGUUGACCGCCUGGGGAGUACGGCCGCAAGGUUGAAACUCAAAGAAAUUGACGGGGACCCGCACAAGCGGUGGAGCAUGUGGUUUAAUUCGAUGCAACGCGAAGAACCUUACCAGGCCUUGACAUCCAGAGAACUAAGCAGAGAUGCUAUGGUGCCUUCGGGAACUCUGAGACAGGUGCUGCAUGGAUGUCGUCAGCUCGUG